GUACCGGGGGGAGAUAAACAUGCAGUCGUGCGCCUCCAGCCAUGGUGGAGACGCGGCAUCCGGCUCAGUAACACGUGGCUAACCCACCCUUGAGACGGAGAAAACCCCGGGAAACUGGGGUUAAUCUCCGAUAAGAGAAGACACCUGGAAUGGGUCUCCUCUCAAAGGGCGCCUAGACCAUGCUUCUGGGCGUUGCUCAAGGACGGGGCCGCGGCCGAUCAGGUUGUUGGUGAGGCAACGGCUCACCAAGCCUAUAACCGGUACGGGCCGUGAGAGCGGGAGCCCGGAGAUGGGCACUGAGACAAGGGCCCAGGCCCUACGGGGCGCAGCAGUUGCGAAAACUCCGCAAUGCACGAAAGUGUGACGGGGCUACCCCGAGUGCCGUCCGCUGAGGGCGGCUUUUCCCCGGUGUAAGGAGCCGGGGGAAUAAGGAGAGGGCAAGUCUGGUGUCAGCCGCCGCGGUAAUACCAGCUCUCCGAGUGGUAGGGAUGAUUAUUGGGCUUAAAGCGUCCGUAGCCGGCUCGGCAAGUCUUCCGUUAAAUCCAACGAUUCAAUCGUUGGACUGCAGGAGAUACUGUUGGGCUAGGAGGCGGGAGAGGCCGACGGUAUUCUCGGGGUAGGGGUAAAAUCCUAUAAUCCCGGGAGGACCACCAGUGGCGAAGGCGGUCGGCUAGAACGCGCUCGACGGUGAGGGACGAAAGCUGGGGGAGCGAACCGGAUUAGAUACCCGGGUAGUCCCAGCUGUAAACGAUGCGGGCUAGGUGUUGGGGCGGCUACGGGCCGCUUCAGUGCCGCAGGGAAACCAUUAAGCCCGCCGCCUGGGGAGUACGGCCGCAAGGCUGAAACUUAAAGGAAUUGGCGGGGGAGCACCACAAGGGGUGAAGCUUGCGGUUUAAUUGGAGUCAACGCCGGG
rnacentral:rRNA from 1 species